GGAUGGGAGGGCGAUCUGGCUUCGAGAUCUGUCACCCCAUUGAUCACCAAGGUUGUUUCAGCUGAUCUGGCAGGCUGGGCAGGUGUCUCUGUCCUCCCUCGUUGGCUGGUGUGCACCGUCCAGAAGCCGCAUGCCUAGUUGAAGAGGAGGACCACCUCUGAGAGAGGAGCACUGUUUCCUCAGUCAAGGGUAUAUGAGUAGCUGUACUCCCCUAAAAGAACCUCCAAAAAAGCUCUCACGAAAUGAACUGAGAAACCAUAGCCCUAAGGAGAGAAGGAGGGAGGGACGGAGACAGAGACAGAGACA
rnacentral:snRNA from 1 species